CAGGAGCAGCGCCUCCAUCUCUCUGACACACAGCACAGUGUUUCUUAAGGAGAACAUCACUUUCUGGACUCGCAGAGGUAAGAUUUGACGGAGUUCUGAAGACUUCUGUGAAAAAUUAGGUAAAAGAUGUGAAAUAUAAUGAACAUUUGUCUUUGUUUGAAUCAGAAUCAAAGUGGAAAAAAUAUGGGGAACGAGCAUUCAAAGAGCAAAGAGCCAAACAAGAAUGAGCAGAUCCCUGAGAAGCAUGGAAACGGCCAGGUGAACGGCAUCUCUGCACACACCACACUCAACGGGUUUGAUGAGCGGAAGAUGGACGUGAAAACUGAAACCACCGUCCAACAAAACGGCGAGCCUCAUUCUUUGGUCAUUAUGACUGAAUCCACUGAUUUUGUGGUCAUCAAAUCAGACUGUCUGACCGCUACUGUUAGUUCUGAAGUCCCUAAGGACACCGCCGCCAUCACCUCCAACACCUCCAACACCAGCAGUCCCAUCAGCACCACCGCCAACAGCCCCAGCAUCCCCAUCAAGAAGGCGGAGGCCAAGAAGAGCAAAGAAGAAAAAACACAUCUCUUUGGCAAAGUGUUCAAAAAGAAAGCAGAAGCUAAAGCUGACGUGAAGAACGUGGAAGAGAAAGAGAAAGAAGAAGAGAGAAGUGAAGAUCAGGCAGAUGUAAGUCUUCCUCCCUCUGACCCACCACAGGAGACAGCUAACCCAAAGAAUCAGGAAUCUGAAGAAUCGUUAGCGGAGCCAGAAAGCGCGACUCCAGAGUCCUCCAGGACAGAGGAAGACAAAGUUCCUGAAACUGAGAGUGGAGACUGUCAGCCUGCGGAAGACAGGAGCGAAGAGAAUCCAGUUAUGAACUUCUUCAAAACCCUGGUGACUACCACAAAAACAUCCAAAAAGGAAACUCCCGAUGCCACGAAAGAUCAGGCUGCACCAGCCUUCGAACCUCCUGCAGCUCCUAAAGGAAUGUCCGUCCCACCGCCGCCUCCUCCAGAGCCUCCCAAACUGGAAACCAAAGCAGAAGCAGCUGCCAAGCCCGUGAAGCCGGCACCGAAAGAGGAACCCAAAGCUGCUGCAAAGGAAGCCGAGUCCUCCAAAGGAAAGUCAGCCAAAGAUGCUCUGAGCAAACUCUUCCGCCCAAAGACAAUCAAGGAGGUGCCACCGCCAGCUGUAGAAGUAGUGGUACAGCCUGUAGAAGUGCAGGAGACACCAGCGGAGGAGCCGGCUCCUGUUGUAGAGGUGCAGAUUGAAAAUAAGGUUGAAGCUCAGGAGGCGGCAGCGGAGGAGGCGCACACAGUUGUAGACGCACAGACCGUGGAAAAAGCACCACAGCCAGAGACAGAAAGUGAGAAGGUGGAUCCCUCAAAGUCUGGCACACUGGAGGCUGCUGCAAAACCAGAACCACCGCCACCUGUUCAGGAAGAGAAGAAGCCAGCCACGAAAUCCUCCUUCCUUUCCAUCUUCAAGCCCAAAGUAUUGUUAGAUCACAUGACCACAAAAGUCCAAGCAGCCUCCACAAGUGGAGUUCGGCUCCUCAGGAAAACUACUGGACUGGCUGCUGAGGCCAAGAAGGCGACCCCGGCUCCACCCGCAGCAGCAGCCGCCGCAGCAGCAGCAGAGGCCGCUCCAGCGGUGAAAGCCAAAGAGGAGACCAAAGCUGCAGCCAAAUCCACAGAGGUGGCGGCAGACAGCAAACCAGCGGCGGCGGCUUCCCAAGCUGCAGACGACGCAGCCAACCUGCCCAAACGGCUGGAGAAGAGGAACUCCAUCCAGCUGUUCUUCAAAAAUCUGGGUCAGAAGCGCCACUCCACAGACGCCGGUGUCCAGACAGAGCCGGCGAUCGCAGCUGCUGCAGCUGAGAAAGCCAAAUGAAAGCGACCCUCUCUGUACAGACAAGCCCCUCUGUCCUCCGUCUUCCUCUUACUCAAUCUUUAUGUCUCUCAUCACUUUAACUACAGUUGUUGUGUUUAGACGUUUAAAAGAAAAGCUCGCUGGAUGGAGGAAGGAACUGAGAGACAGGUCUGAAGCCUUCUUCGAUGGCCUGUUGUAUAUUUUUGUCCAAGCACAGUGAAAUUAGACUUUUCUGGGGACUUCUCUCUGUUUUUGCUAACUAACACGUAUGCACUAUAUAAGCAGCUUUGCUUUUUGGAUUUAAAGUGUCACUGGCUGUUUUUCAGUUCAUAGCAGAGGUUUUGUGCAGUUGUGGCAACGCAGGAGCUAAAAUGAACAUUGUACUUAAUCAACAGCUGACAGGAGCAUGUUUAUAGAGCAGAAAGCACUGACAGACCUAACUCUAUGUAAUAUAGAAACACAGACUGUAUGGGAAAUCACAAUCUUACUGUUCUGAGGGGAACUGAUUGUAAAUAUUCAUGUUAACACACACGUCCGAGGCGUCGCUGUGCACAUGUGUCCGUGUGGUUCACUGUGUCAUUUAACUGAAGUUGGUCUCAUGCUGUCAGUCGGUCCUGUUUUUAGCAUAUGUGCAAUUAAUGCUUUUGCGUGCCUAUGUGUAUGCGUGUAUGUGUAACUUCAGCUACCUAAAAGGC
rnacentral:lncRNA from 1 species